rnacentral:rRNA from 1 species
GAUGAACGCUGGCGGCGUGCCUAAUACAUGCAAGUCGAGCGAACAGACGAGGAGCUUGCUCCUCUGACGUUAGCGGCGGACGGGUGAGUAACACGUGGAUAACCUACCUAUAAGACUGGGAUAACUUCGGGAAACCGGAGCUAAUACCGGAUAAUAUAUUGAACCGCAUGGUUCAAUAGUGAAAGACGGUUUUGCUGUCACUUAUAGAUGGAUCCGCGCCGCAUUAGCUAGUUGGUAAGGUAACGGCUUACCAAGGCAACGAUGCGUAGCCGACCUGAGAGGGUGGUCGGCCACCCUGGAACUGAGCCACGGUCCAGACUCCUACGGGAGGCAGCAGUAGGGAAUCGUCCGCAAUGGGCGAAAGCUUGACGGAGCAACGCCGCGUGAGUGAUGAAGGUCUUCGGAUCGUAAAACUCUGUUAUGAGGGAAGAACAAAUGUGUAAGUAACUAUGCACGUCUUGACGGUACCUAAUCAGAAAGCCACGGCUAACUACGUG